rnacentral:rRNA from 1 species
UUCGCGAGAAGUCCAUUGAACCUUAUCAUUUAGAGGAAGGAGAAGUCGUAACAAGGNUUUCCGUAGGUGAACCUGCGGAAGGAUCAUUGUCGUGACCCUGACAAAAACAGACCGCGCACGCGUCACCCCUCCCGCCGGGCGGCACCCGUGCCGCCCGGCUAGGCCGGGACCCCCUCCGUGGGGCGACGGCCGCAACAGAACCCACGGCGCCGACGGCGUCAAGGAACACCAUACGCCCAAACGGGGGCGCGGACGGCUCGGCCAGCCGGCGCCGGCCGCCCCCCGCGUUGAUACGCUAACGACAAACACGACUCUCGGCAACGGAUAUCUCGGCUCUCGCAUCGAUGAAGAACGUAGCGAAAUGCGAUACCUGGUGUGAAUUGCAGAAUCCCGUGAACCAUCGAGUCUUUGAACGCAAGUUGCGCCCGAGGCCAUCCGGCCGAGGGCACGCCUGCCUGGGCGUCACGCCAAAAGACGCUCCAGAAAGCCCUCCCCGGGGCGGAGGACGCGGUGUCUGGCCCCCCGCGCCGCAGGGCGCGGUGGGCCCAAGAUCGGGCCGCCGGCGCGCAGCGCGUCGGGCGCAGCACAAGGUGGGCGACGUCUCGCGCAGUCGACGUGCAGCGACCCGGCGCCUAGCCGCGCAUUCGGCCCCGAGGACCCAUCGACCGAAGCGCGCGUCGCUCGGACCGCGACCCCAGGUCAGGCGGGACUACCCGCUGAGUUUAAGCAUAUAAAUAAGCGGAGGAGAAGAAACUUACGAGGAUUCCCCUAGUAACGGCGAGCGAACCGGGG